rnacentral:rRNA from 1 species
UACGAAGGGGGCUAGCGUUGCUCGGAAUCACUGGGCGUAAAGCGCACGUAGGCGGCUUCUUAAGUCAGGGGUGAAAUCCUGGAGCUCAACUCCAGAACUGCCUUUGAUACUGGGAGGCUCGAGUCCGGGAGAGGUGAGUGGAACUGCGAGUGUAGAGGUGAAAUUCGUAGAUAUUCGCAAGAACACCAGUGGCGAAGGCGGCUCACUGGCCCGGUACUGACGCUGAGGUGCGAAAGCGUGGGGAGCGAACAGG